rnacentral:rRNA from 1 species
AUGUGGUUAGAAGAUGAAAGAUAUGAUGAUUCAGAACAAAAUAGUGAUUGCUAUAACUCACUAGAUGAUGUGGGACUCCAUAAUUUAGACAAUGCAAUGGAAGCCAUGGAAGUAGAAAAUAGUGGAAAAAGAAGAAGGGGAUAUGGAGAAUCAUCUGUAAAAAGAGAAGGAGAAAGAGAGAGACCUACCAGAUCAGCUGGACAAUGGCCUCUAGAAAAAGAUGAUUAUGAACCUACAUAUAUCCCAGGACACUAUAGAUAUAUGGGUACUAAAAGAAGAGAUUUUGAAAAACCAGUGCAAUUUCAGAAUUAUAAGAAUGAUGGCGCUAUAUUAAACCUAGCAGCUCAUGAUCCAAUAGAUUGGCCGAAUAUAUUCACAUAUGGAAAGGUUUAA